rnacentral:rRNA from 1 species
AGUGAACGCUGGCGGUAGGCCUAACACAUGCAAGUCGAACGGCAGCACAGUAAGAUCUUGCUCUUACGGGUGGCGAGUGGCGGACGGGUGAGGAAUACAUCGGAAUCUACUUUUUCGUGGGGGAUAACGUAGGGAAACUUACGCUAAUACCGCAUACGACCUACGGGUGAAAGCAGGGGAUCUUCGGACCUUGCGCGAUUGAAUGAGCCGAUGUCGGAUUAGCUAGUUGGGGGGGUAAAGGCCCACCAAGGCGACGAUCCGUAGCUGGUCUGAGAGGAUGAUCAGCCACACUGGAACUGAGACACGGUCCAGACUCCUACGGGAGGCAGCAGUGGGGAAUAUUGGACAAAGGGCGCAAGCCUGAUCCAGCCAUACCGCGUGGGUGAAGAAGGCCUUCGGGUUGUAAAGCCCUUUUGUUGGGAAAGAAAAGCAGCAGGUUAAUACCCCGCUGUUCUGACGGUACCCAAAGAAUAAGCACCGGCUAACUUCGUG